rnacentral:rRNA from 1 species
CCUACGGGAGGCUGCAGUGAGGAAUAUUGGUCAAUGGGCGCGAGCCUGAACCAGCCAAGUCGCGUGAGGGAAGACGGUCCUAUGGAUUGUAAACCUCUUUAUGCGGGGAGCAAUGCCGGGCACGCGUGCCCGGAGGGAGAGUACCCGCAGAAUAAGCAUCGGCUAACUCCGCGCCAGCAGCCGCGGUAAUACGGAGGAUGCGAGCGUUAUCCGGAUUUAUGGGGGUUAAAGGGUGCGUAGGCGGAUUUUUAAGUCAGCGGUAAAAUGUCCGGGCUCAACCCGGGCCGGCCGUUGAAACUGGGGAUCUUGAGUGGGCGAGAAGUAUGCGGAAUGCGUGGUGUAGCGGUGAAAUGCAUAGAUAUCACGCAGAACUCCGAUUGCGAAGGCAGCAUACCGGCGCCCGACUGACGCUGAGGCACGAAAGCGUGGGGAUCGAACAGGAUUAGAUACCCGAGUAGUC